AGUGAACGCUGGCGGUAGGCCUAACACAUGCAAGUCGAACGGCAGCACAGUAAGAGCUUGCUCUUACGGGUGGCGAGUGGCGGACGGGUGAGGAAUACAUCGGAACCUACUUUUACGUGGGGGAUAACGUAGGGAAAAUUACGCGAAUACCGCAUACGACAUACGGGUGAAAGGAGGGGAUCUUCGGAUCUUGAGGGAUUGAAUGAGCCGAUGUCGGAUUAGCUAGUUGGCGGGGUAAAGGCCGACCACGGCGACGAUCCGUAGCAGGUCUGAGAGGAUGAUCCGCCACACUGGAACUGAGACGCGGCCCAGACUCCUACGCGAGGCAGCAGUGGGGAAUAUUGGAAAAUGUGCGCAAGCCUGAUCCAUCCAUACCACGUGGGUGAAGAAGGCCUUCGGGUUGUAAAGCCCUUUUCUUGUGAUAGAAAAUCAGCAGGUUAAUACCCCGCUGUUCUGACGGUACCCAAAGAAUAAGCACCGGCUAACUUCGU
rnacentral:rRNA from 1 species